rnacentral:rRNA from 1 species
GAUGAACGCUGGCGGCGUGCCUAAUACAUGCAAGUCGAGCGAACAGAUGAGGAGCUUGCUCCUCUGACGUUAGCGGCGGACGGGUGAGUAACACGUGGAUAACCUACCUAUAAGACUGGGAUAACUUCGGGAAACCGGAGCUAAUACCGGAUAAUAUAUUGAACCGCAUGGUUCAAUAGUGAAAGACGGUUUUGCUGUCACUUAUAGAUGGAUCCGCGCCGCAUUAGCUAGUUGGUAAGGUAACGGCUUACCAAGGCGGCGAUGCGUAGCCGACCUGAGAGGGUGAUCGGCCACACUGGAACUGAGACACGGUCCAGACUCCUACGGGAGGCAGCAGUAGGGAAUCUUCCGCAAUGGGCGAAAGCUUGACGGAGCAACGCCGCGUGAGUGAUGAAGGUCUUCGGAUCGUAAAACUCUGUUAUUAGGGAAGAACAAAUGUGUAAGUAACUAUGCACGUCUUGACGGUACCUAAUCAGAAAGCCACGGCUAACUACGUG